rnacentral:tRNA from 1 species
GAUUUCAUAAUAUAAUAAAUAUAUUAAUUUGCAAGAUUAAAAAUGAGUCUUCUGAAAUU